UGUGCCAGAGCUGUGCAUCCUCUGCCACUCCUAUUCCAUUCCAAUUCAUCCCAUGUGAGUCUCCACAGCUACACUGCUGCAGCAUGCCAGGGAGCACAGCGUCCCAUUGUGACCCUCUGUUUCUAGGACACUCCUUGUUACCAGCUGCCUUUGAUUGGAUUUCCUGGGAGCAGAGCCAGAGAAAAAUAUUUUUUUCAGAUGCUGUUAGUCAGCUCUUCACUGCUGUGACCCAGAUAACUAACAAGAACAACAUAGAAGAGGAAAGAUUUAUUUUGGUUUCAGAGAUUUCAAUCCAUGGUCAGCUGGCCCCAUUGCUUUGGGCAGAAGCGUGUGAAAAAUCAAAGAUGGUUUCUACCAGAAGGAGUUACCACCCAGAAGUGAGAGAAAAUCAUAUAUAUUCUAAAGAAAGAACAUUGGCUUGGGAAUCAGACAGAUGUGAUUAUUCAUCCAAAAUUCUCCACCAUUCAUGAGCUUUGUGACAUCAGGAAAACUGCUUUUCCUCUUGGAGACUCAAUCUUCUCUUUUGCAAAAUGUGUAUAAGGAUGCAGCAGUAGCUUUCUUGACCAACCUGCACUUAACAACUCCCAAGAUUAAUCAGCACCCUUCAUGCUCCCUUCAGCAUACUGGCUGAUGAUCACCAAUACUGAGCACAGGCGUGCAGCCCACUUACGAAGAUAAAAAGUGAUUUCUUGGAAAAUUGGGAAUGGAACCACCAUUUGACCCAGCUAUCCCUCUCCUUGGAUUAUACCCAAAGGACUUAAAAACAGCAUACUAUAGGGACACUGCCACAUCAAUGUUUAUAGCAGCACAAUUCACAAUAGCUAAACUGUGGAGCCAACCUAGAUGCCUUUCAGUAGAUGAAUGGAUAAAGAAAAUGUGGCAUAUAUACACAAUGGAAUAUUCUUCAGCCAUAAAAGAAAAUAAAAUCAUGGCAUUUGCAGUUGUUAAAUCCAAAAAAGAAGACAAAGGAGAAAGAGAAGAAGAAAAGACAAAGUUAUGUGUACCUUGGAUGAUAAAAGGGGGAAGUUUGGAUACAGAGACAUAUACACAGGGUCAGUACCAUGGGAAGAUGAGCCAAAGGUGAAGGUGAUAUUCUACCAGCCAAGGAACUCCAAAGAUUGCCAGCACACCUCCAGAGUGUGGACAAGAGCUGGACGAGAGCAUGGAACAAAUUCUCUCUCGUAGAAGGAGACACCAUGACUUUGGACUUCUAGUCUCCAGAACUAUGAGACAAUAAGAUGCUGUCCUCCAAACCUCCUAGUGGAACUUAACUGUUAUGUCAGGCUUGGCAAAAUACAAUAUAUAUCAUUU